GCCAGGUGUAGUGGUGCACACCUGUAAUCCCAGCUACUGGGGAGGCUGAGGCAGGAGAAUUGCUUGCACUCAGGAGGCAGAGGUUGCAGUGGGCUGAGAUCGCACCACUGAACUCCAGCCUGAGCGACAGAGUAAGACCUUGUCUCAA
ensembl:misc_RNA Metazoa_SRP Metazoan signal recognition particle RNA